rnacentral:snoRNA from 1 species
UUGCACAAGUAGAAUAGAAAGAAAGGAAGUUCUUAUGUGCUAUGCAAAUAGUUGAAGGUUAAUUAGCAAUAUAACUAAAUAUUAAUGCUGCCAGUCUCUUUUAGACAAAC